UGUAGGUACUUACUUUAUGCAUAACGAGCUAGAUGAAUUACUUAUUGUGAUCAGUCGAUAUCACUUAGGUACCCACAAAAUGUGUAGAUAGAAUGUUGGUGUUAUUCCCACGCAAAAUAGUUUUAUCAAGCUAAUAUUAAUUUACAAGAAUUAUCGUAGGUACCUAAAUGAAUUUUUUCGUACAAAACCAAUUUUUUUCCACCAAAAUUGCCAAUUAAUGUGGUUGAAUAUUCAAGUUAAGCAACUAAACAUAAUAUUUUAUGAUCAGAGGAUGUUUUAAAUUAAAAGCAUUUUUUUUCCUACUGCUUCAGAGCUUAUGAAUGUGGAUUUCUUAUAGCUCCACAUAGUUAAUAACAGUACAAUUCCAAAACCAAACCAGCAGUUUUGAGAUGACGAUAUCUUUGUUGAGUAAUAAGGUAGCCUAUACUUGAACGAUGAAUCUUGGAAUAGUUUUAGUUUACUUUCUUGGUGUUAAUUGGUGGUUUCGCGAAGCGGCAGCGCUUGAAAAUGAAACAAAAACCUCCGCAAGUGAAAAUCGGCUGUUUCAUAGAAAUGGCAAAGGAAACGAAAGUUUUCAAAACGGUGAAUUUCAAUCAGAAUUGCCUCGAAGAAAAUGGAUUUCGGAGUUGUUCUAUGAAGCACAAACGACAUUUCGAAUGAAUUCUGAUGUGAAUGGUGAACGCGAAUGCAAGAAAGAUUUUGAUUUGUUCAAGUUACACCUUAGAAAUCAGUCAACGUGGGCUGUCAAAAGUGAGUACCUACUACCUACCUAUUAUUUUGCCAACACCUGAAAUUUCAAGUACCUAUUUGCGUAUUUAAAAAUAAAAAAAAAAUCAUACGAGGUGUAAGGGGACUACAUGCCUUCACUGGCUAGACAGGGACACUCAUCGUAUUUCUAUCAGUGGUAAUAUAAAUCUUCCAUCAAUAUGGAAAGUACAAUCUAGAGAAUCCAAUCAAAUUGGUUUAUUGGCGAUCCAAUACUGAUCUAUUUUUGGGCAUUAAUUGUACAUUUAUUCAUCGCAGCUCCAUUUUCAAAUUUGAACCCAGCCAUCACAAGACGACUGUUGAAAUGUUUACAAAACUACUUCUCGACAAAUCAAAGCCUAUGCAACGAAUCUCAAUCGUCUAAAAACAAAGGCGAAUGAUCUAGACGAAUAUAAUAUAUACUGUUCAUGAGGAUUAUUUUUUCAAAAUAAAUAGGUAUAUAAAUGAGACUCCUUUGGAUGGGGUUUUAUGGACGAUUGGGUGAAAUAAAAUAUACCAACGCGCA